ACGCUGGCGGCAGGCUUAACACAUGCAAGUCGAACGGUAACAGGAAUUAGCUUGCUAAUUUGCUGACGAGUGGCGGACGGGUGAGUAAUGCUUGGGAAUCUGGCUUAUGGAGGGGGAUAACUACGGGAAACUGUAGCUAAUACCGCGUAAAAUCUUCGGAUUAAAGGGUGGGACUUUCGAGCCACCUGCCAUAAGAUGAGCCCAAGUGGGAUUAGGUAGUUGGUUAGGUAAAGGCUGACCAAGCCGACGAUCUCUAGCUGGUCUGAGAGGAUGACCAGCCACACUGGAACUGAGACACGGUCCAGACUCCUACGGGAGGCAGCAGUGGGGAAUAUUGCACAAUGGGGGGAACCCUGAUGCAGCCAUGCCGCGUGAAUGAAGAAGGCCUUCGGGUUGUAAAGUUCUUUCGGUGACGAGGAAGGUUGAUAGGUUAAUAGCCUAUCAAAUUGACGUUAAUCACAGAAGAAGCACCGGCUAACUCCGUGCCAGCAGCCGCGGUAAUACGGGGGGUGCGAGCGUUAAUCGGAAUAACUGGGCGUAAAGGGCGCGCAGGCGGUGACUUAAGUGAGAUGUGAAAGCCCCGAGCUUAACUUGGGAAUUGCAUUUCAUACUGGGUCGCUAGAGUACUUUAGGGAGGGGUAGAAUUCCACGUGUAGCGGUGAAAUGCGUAGAGAUGUGGAGGAAUACCGAAGGCGAAGGCAGCCCCUUGGGAAUGUACUGACGCUCAUGUGCGAAAGCGUGGGGAGCAAACAGGAUUAGAUACCCUGGUAGUCCACGCUGUAAACGAUGUCGAUUUGGGGAUUGGGCUUUGAGCUUGGUGCCCGUAGCUAACGUGAUAAAUCGACCGCCUGGGGAGUACGGCCGCAAGGUUAAAACUCAAAUGAAUUGACGGGGGCCCGCACAAGCGGUGGAGCAUGU
rnacentral:rRNA from 1 species